rnacentral:tRNA from 1 species
GCUGCAAUAGCUCAGAUGGUAGAGCGGCUGCCUUGUAAGCAGCGGGUCGCGGGUUCGAUGCCUGCUUGCAGCACCA